CAUGCAGAAACAUGAAGAGUGGGGCCUGGUGCAUGAACCUUUUGGAGUUCACAGAAUGUGGUCUACUUUACUGAUUUGAUUAGAGGCCUGGAUUGGCUCAAGAAUGUUUCCACCAAGUUGAGUUGAAGUUGGAUUUGGUACAAAAAUUUCACAGAGACCUAAUUAAAAUAUGAAGUUACAUUUUCCUGCUUGUAUAACACAUUAUACAAAAUACAUAAACAAAAUAAACAUC